UUGCAAGUGCUUUGCCUCUAGGGUUCCU
rnacentral:sRNA from 1 species